rnacentral:lncRNA from 1 species
UUAUGUGGUCACUGAUACCUAUUCAGGCUGUGGAAUGGCCAUCCCCAUCUACUUAAGUGCUUUGGGAUCAUGGCAGCUCCUUUCUCCAUGAAAACUGACACUGGUGCAGCCUAGGCAAGCAGAGCUUUCAAGGAAUUUUGCUCUACAUGGCACAUAAAUCAUGUCACUGGGAUCCCCUAUAACCCUCAGGUUUAAUGCAUUGUAGACAGAACACGCAAGGAAUUAAUGACCAUGCUACAAAAAUGGGGGAGGGGGAGGGAGGAGGCUCUACCAAAUCCUCUCACAAUGCCUUGAACAAAAUCUUGUUUCCUUCAAAUUUUCUUUCAACUUCAAAAUUUUCCAUGAAAAUAGCCACCCACAAACAUUAGGCCCCCUUCACUGUGCCCUCCCAUUUACCUAUAAUCUCCCAGAUGGAUCCCAUCACAAGUGCAUGGAAUGGUUCAGCGUCCCUCCUAAAACUGGGUCCAAGGUUUGUAUAUGUUGACAGAAGCCUCACCCCAUCUGGGUGCCUGCAGUGAAACUGUCUGCCAGGUAAAUUGGGCUUUAGUCCCUUGGCCACCAAAUUAGCAGUGGGCAAUUGGGAAGGAGCCCUAUCUAAGCUCUUUUCUAAUAACUCCAACCUGAUUGAUCCUGAGGUAGCCAUACUAGGACCACCCAUGCAGGGGACCACCAGCACUCCCAUGCCUCCUUGGCCGUGUGGUUAGCUGAUAACGAGACCUAAUAUCACGACCGUCCUCUCUGUUUUGCUCUUGCUAAUGAAACUUUUGUAGAUCAAUAUAACAAGUCCUAUGUUGGCUAUCUCUCUCUCUGACAGUUGGUAGUUAACGCUACCAAUAGCCAUAGACUCCCCCUCCCCCAUGGCAAGUGCGAGAAACCCUUGCUGCUAACAUGCCCAACAACAUUCUUUAGAAAGCCCCCCUUUGAUAAUGAUAGCACCCCAUAGAAUCAGUGUGUGGCAGCCACACCUUAUCUCCUUGGUAAGAGAAAUUUCUUUGGGGAAAAUCAACACCUAAGCACCUGGGUAGGCACAGCUCUCUGGAAUGUAACCCAUGUGCCUCAAAACCAUAUGGGCUAUGGAGUAACUGCUACCUGGGACAAUCUCUCAUCAACCACUAUGCAGGAAAUCAAUAUAGAUAGUAUGAUGGAUAUCACGCCAAUAUUGCUAGCCACUAGACCCUUCAAAUAAGCAUCAGCAGGCUGGACAAAUGGAUCAAUAAUGGGCCCUAAACCCAACAUAUGCCUUCAUCCCAAAGUAUACCCAUACCCACUAUGCACAAACUUGUGUCACGCCACCCUUUGCCAUGCUCAUAAUCAAUGCCUCUGAUGGUGUAAAUAUCACUCAUGCAGAGAUUCCUUGUGCAGUCAAUGCAUCCUGCUGGCUCACAACCUGUCUAUACCUGCUAUGAAAGCUAAAUGUGUGUUUAUCCUCAGAUGCCCCCAGCAGCCUGGCUUCCAGUGAACCAGUCCAAGGAGUGAAGGAGUCCAUGGGACAUGCAGAGGAAGCAUCUUCUGAGUGAGAUCCUGCACUGGACAAGGCAUGAAAUUGGUCUCAUCUUUGCUGGGAUUGUUGCCCUAGUGGCUGCCAUCGCCACCACAGCCACUGCCACUGCUUCACUCACUCAGAGGAUCUGCACUGUGCAGACUGGAAACAAUGUGUCCCCUGCCAUUGUAGCAGCCUUUCCCUUUCAAAAUGACUUAAAUAAACUGUCCUGAACUGCUAUUUUCCUCAUUCAGCAAGAACCAGACCUCCUUCAGGAGCCUGAGGUGUUCUGUUUAUGUUGCAAAGGCUCACGGUCACCCUGAAUUUCAUAAUAUUUGCAUCAUCCAAUACACUGUAUCUGACACUGGAACCUUACAGUUCUCCACUUUUUCUCACUACAUGAAGGGCGCUUGGGAUGCUCACUGUAUUAUGACUGCAUGACGUCACUAAGCCCAUGGUCAAAAAUCAAGGGGACUAAGGUGUCUGUCUCAACAGUCUCCUCUUUCUUCCAGGGAUUGGCUGAACAUUGGAAAAACCUGAGAGCCAAGUUCACUAACCCUUACAGUGCUAUUACCCUGGCCCUACUGAUUGUGACAGUAAUAUUUUUUCUUGUGUUCUGAGACGCUUAUGCAAGCUUGUGAAGGCCACCGACAAAAAUAAGGGAUGCUAGCAAAAGUUCUUGUGGCACAGUCUGAGGGGGAGAUGUAGGAACAAGUGAAUGGAGAACUGUAUAUGUGGCAUACAUGAAGGGCAUCUGAGUGGCAGGCCACUCCGCUCCAGCUAGGGGUGUGAGUAACAGGCUGCUCACCCUGUAGGCCCCUCCCUGGGCAUGAGGCCACCUGUUGCAGUCCCUGCACUUGCUCCAUGGCCUGCUACUUGAUUGGUUGUGGCUCUUCAGAGCCACUCCUGCACCAACAGUUUCUCAAUAGAACAACCUUGGAAUCAUCAGUAGGCCAGAGGGAAUAUUGGGGCCUACUUUGGUCUCCUAGAGUUGUUCAGAAAUUGUAUUGGUGGCUUCAUGUAAUGUGCUUAGCUGCUGACCAAGUGUAUACACAUGAUAACUGUGCAAUAAAAUCAGAUCUGCUUCCUGCUUUGUGUCUGGAGGUCUUGAUUCGUCAAUCCCCAGCCACCCUUUCCUCGACCCUGUU